AUAGCGUAUAUUAAAGUUGUUGCGGUUAAAAAGCUCGUAGUUGAAUCUGUGUGUCACGCUGUCGGUUCAUCGCUCGCGGUGUUUACUGACAUGACGUGGGACGUCCUACCGGUGGGCUCAGCCCCUUUCAGGGGCGGUCCAACUAAUAUCCCAUCGCGGUGCUCUUCACUGAGUGCCGAGGUGGGCCGGUACGUUUACUUUGAACAAAUUAGAGUGCUUAAAGCAGGCUGUCUUCGCCUGAAUACUGUGUGCAUGGAAUAAUGGAAUAGGACCUCGGUUCUAUUUUGUUGGUUUUCGGAACCCCGAGGUAAUGAUUAAUAGGGACAGAUGGGGGCAUUCGUAUUGCGACGUUAGAGGUGAAAUUCUUGGAUCGUCGCAAGACGGACAGAAGCGAAAGCAUUUGCCAAAAAUGUUUUCAUUAAUCAAGAACGAAAGUUAGAGGUUCGAAGGCGAUCAGAUACCGCCCUAGUUCUAACCAUAAACGAUGCCAGCUAGCGAUCCGCCGAAGUUCCUCCGAUGACUCGGCGGGCAGCUUCCGGGAAACCAAAGCUUUUGGGUUCCGGGGGAAGUAUGGUUGCAAAGCUGAAACUUAAAGGAAUUGACGGAAGGGCACCACCAGGAGUGGAGCCUGCGGCUUAAUUUGACUCAACACGGGAAACCUCACCAGGCCCGGACACCGGAAGGAUUGACAGAUUGAUAGCUCUUUCUUGAUUCGGUGGGUGGUGGUGCAUGGCCGUUCUUAGUUGGUGGAGCGAUUUGUCUGGUUAAUUCCGAUAACGAACGAGACUCUAGCCUGCUAAAUAGGCGUAACUUAUGGUAUCUCUAAGGCCCCCGUCGUUCUGUCGGGCGGUUCUUACUACCGACGUACAAACAAAUCUUCUUAGAGGGACAGGCGGCUUCUAGCCGCAC
rnacentral:rRNA from 1 species